ensembl:lncRNA
ACCUAUAGUAUAGGGGCCCAGGAUUUGGUGCUACGGCCCUGUCUGGCUGUAAUGCCAAACCCCCACCGCCUUGCUUCGGCAACAAGUAUCAGAAGUGGCGGUUCUCGUCAUAUUUGCUGCGGUAUCGCAACGGUUUACGAACACUACAAUUGCCAGGUGACACGACAAUGUGUACUCGCGUUAAUGUAUAUAUUUGAUUUCUUUAUAAUUAGAGGUAACCCCUUUUUUUAACUACAAAUCCACCUCCCAUUUAGCCUACAACAAAUGACCGACAGGAUAGAGAGGAUAGAGAGCAACAGGUACUGGGCGUUCUUCUACUUGAGAGAUGAUGAAGGAAACCUUUUCUGGAUAUUGACCCAUUGAUUUAUUUGAUAUAAGCUCCCUGGUUAAUGGCCUUUUUUUUAUUUGUAUACAUGUCCAGAUAGGGCCUAGAUUCCUCACCACCUCUGUGAGUGUACAUAUAAUACAAUGAUGUGACAAAAAGAGUAGGCUAUAUCGGGGGCAACUAAUGAAGUUUAUGUUCUCACCGGACACACCACGCCACAGUGGUGCGGACAGCAGUCAUUGUAGACAUUAAAACUAGAUUGUAUUUGUUUUUUUCUGCUGUGGCUGACUCUGCUUUUGAUGUACAAAGAAAUGAGAAGAUUCUAUUUUAUAGCCUUAGAGGCUUCAGUGCUGGCACUGCCAUCUAUUGAUGAGAUACCUGGAGACACCGCCCGCCCGACACACACAUUGUUAUACUCUCUUAAGACUUUCUUGACCAAUUUUUCUAACCUUUCAUUCAUCGUGGCCUUUCAAAGUACGAAGAGCUGAUGCAUAUGUAACAUAUGUUCUAUUCUAUGGCAAUUGAAGAAAGUGUGUGUGUAUUUGUGUCUGAAUGUAUGUUUUGAUUUUCUAGAAUUAGGCUACUGUGUUUUUACAUUUGUACAUAUGUCAAAGCCAAAGUCCAAAACAGUUCAAUUCCUCCAUCCAAUAGCAUUGGGAAGAUUAUGUAAAAAUGUACUGUACAUUUUUUAUGUAAACAGAUUUCCCGUCGUUUAUUGUAUGAUUGAUAUGAUUCUGGUAUACAAAUGCAGGUCGGCAAUGUAUUUGUAUAUAUUAAUUGUAAUUAAACAUUUUGUAUAGAAAAUACUUACGAUCUACUGUCAAUCUCUGGUACAUACACAAAACAGAGUCCCAUUUCAUAGAGCCGUCUACUAGGACCAACACAGGUGUCUCAAUGAUUAUGGGUCUGCUCCUUUGAUGUACCAGGGCACAUGGUCCAUGGUCAAUGCGUCUCCUCAUCAAUAUUUAGUGUACCACCAGUGCCCUGGUACAUCAAAGAAUCCGACGCUAAAUUAGUGUUAUGAGCAACACCUGUGUUUGUGCUGCAACGAUGCCUCUGAAAAGGCUAUUGAGCCAGUGUUGUAAUGGCAUUUGGGUAAGCCAUUAAAAGAGCCUCUUUUGAAGUCUAGGAUGUUCUAUUGAUGCAUUGUCACGUGUUCAAGCUCCUGGCAUUAUUCC